UCAAGAAAAAAAUUGUGACAUGUGAUGGGAUGCAAAGUUUUCCAAUGAUAAUCAGAACUAAGGAAGGAAAUAUCCUUGAUCAGAACUCUUUGCAAAAACACCUUCAUCACGUGUCGACUGUCGUAAUUUCAAAUAUUUCGCGGGUGUUGCUGUUCGUGUUCGUAGUGUCUGCUAGAUAUUGACAGUUUUGAAUAUGGCUGCAUGGAAUCCCAGUGUUCCACAGACCUCUCAACAAGAAUUGGAGGAAAUAAAAGUAUUACUUGAAUCAAAGCUCUCAGAUAUACGAACAGAGCUCCAGCAACUUCGUGACACUGAAGAUAAUAAUCGACUUGGCCGGCUGCCAAGUAAAAAUUUAGAGCAGACUAAGAAGCUUUUGAUUCAAUAUUUGAUAGAGAGACUAACACCUCAAUCUCCAGAUUUUUUCAGAACUGGAGAACUUAUGUUUAAAGCAGUACUUGAAAAAUUGGAAAUCCAACUAAAAGAAACUACCAGGAUGAUUGACAGUGAGAAGAGAGCAUUGAAUAAAUUAAAUAAAAAACUACAAAGUUUGCAGGCACUAUCGGAAUCAUUUGACACCAUCACGACUACAAGGCUUGAAUCAGGUGAAAUGAGACAGGCAGAGAAUCUUGAUAAAAUUGAAAAACAUCUGAACUCGGAGUUACAGAAACACAGGGAGGCACUGGUGAGCCAUAAUGGACUGUGAAGUAGAUGUCAGGUUGCGACAAUAGUCAGUGAUGGAGUUCCUCUUCAAGACCAGCAAUGACUCUGCCACAUCCAUUCACAGGAAGUUGCUCCCUGUUUAUGGUGAGGACACAGUGGAUCGCAGCAGUAUCCAGCAGUGGUUGCAGAGGUUUAAAGAAGAAGUACAUGGUUGACAAAAAUUAUCCUGGGGAUCAGGACGUGCGACGAAUAAUAAUGAACUUGAUGCAGUUGUACAUUGAUAACCCAAGCGAAUAUAUUGAAUUAUCAGAGGAAGACCAUGGCAGAAUUUCAAGAUUUUUUCAAAUUGGAAUUAUUACUCGACAUCCAUAUGAUCCAAUGAAAGUGAGAUUGUCUUAUUGCCAGUAAUUCAAUUGCAAGCGACAAACACUGAUAAGGUUCACAGGUAUAAGAAAAUUUCGACCUGCCGUUUCCAUAAUAGGUCUUACACAUCACAUCCAUGUUUUGUGAAAGACAGUUUACUGUGUACCUCUCAGAAAAGAAGUGAGGUUUCUUCAUAAACAUAAUUAGUGAUCACUUUUUUGAAAAGAUAAGCUGAUUACUGUGCAUCUGUACUUGGAUUGUAGCUGCUUCUGUUUUCUUUCAUGAUGUAAUAAGAGUAUAAUGUCAAUGAAUUAAUGAAUGCCCUAUGGACACGAGAUAUCUUGUGUUUUAAUAGAGGCCAAAUCACAGUAGUUCAAACAAUAGUUGAUUUCAACAAAGAUGGUAGGUGUUCUUUCCUUCAUUUUAAAGCUCAGCAUAUGGAAAGACUCAAUGUUAUCUUUGAUUUUUGUGAAAUUGGAAAUGUUAGUAUUACUUUGUGCAAGCCUACCACAAAGGUCAACAGUUGUGUAGGAAUUACAAUGCGAAAUGCACUGGUCAUGUCACCUGUAUAGUAUUAACUUUUGCUGUUGUUCAGAUUAGUGAGUUAUAUUACUGAGUGUGAUCAAAUGCAAGAUGAUGAAACAUAACUCAUCUGUAACUUAAUAUAUUACCAUUUAUGUAAUUUCUUUAGUUGGCAGUAUGAAAGUCCAACAACUUCAUGUAAAAACAUUGCUUUGUGUUCCUAUAUGGUAUAGUUCACCGUGUACUUACAUAGUUAAGUUACAUUUAUUUUUGUACCU